UACGGAGGGUGCAAGCGUUUAUCCGGAUUCACUGGGUUUAAAGGGUGCGUAGGUGGGUCUGUAAGUCAGUGGUGAAAUCUCCAAGCUUAACUUGGAAACUGCCAUUGAUACUAUAGGUCUUGAAUAUCCUGGAGGUGAGCGGAAUAUGUCAUGUAGCGGUGAAAUGCUUAGAUAUGACAUAGAACACCAAUUGCGAAGGCAGCUCACUACGGGAUUAUUGACACUGAGGCACGAAAGCGUGGGGAUCAAACAGG
rnacentral:rRNA from 1 species